UUUUUAGUGUAAGUAUGUCCCAUGCAAUAUCUGGGACAUAGUUAUACAAAA
rfam:Ictidomys tridecemlineatus contig017652, whole genome shotgun sequence.